CUCGCCAGAAUAGAGCGACCCAAACUUAUCUUCAUUUAUCUUCAUUUUUGUCUCAUAUUUUCUUUCUCUGAAAACCUUUCUCUUAGUCUCGUCUUCCUCUCAUCGAAAACUUGUUUUUGCUCCAACGAAGUACAUGAUUCCCGUCGUUGUCACUAUUAAGUCGCCGUCUCAAAGCGUCUUCUUCUCUAAUUCGAUCUAAAUUUCUUGCAGGAUGACUCCUACGGAGCUUCCUUCUUGUUUAUUUGCCGAGAGAGAACAACCUGCCGGUGAUACGGAGCAGUUGGUGAUAAAACUAAACCAGAAUCCGACGAUGAAGAUGUGUUCCCUCUAAUUUCUUUGAAAUUAGAUAAAGUGUGAGAAUUAGAUGUAGGAGAUCAAGUAUGUUAGACCUCUAUGCGUUUAUAUAAAUGUCCAUUCAGUUUUUGUCCAGCGACAUUUGUUUAGAUAUACAAUUACAUCCCUUUUUAAUUUCUAUAAACUGUUGUUAUAGAUAACUAUAUUUAUAAAUUCAUGAAUACUUGGUUAUGUACAACUACAUAUUCAAUUAGUUUUACUUUGGUUGUUAAUUA